AUUGAACGCUGGCGGCAGGCUUAACACAUGCAAGUCGAGCGGGGGAAGGUAGCUUGCUACUGGACCUAGCGGCGGACGGGUGAGUAAUGCUUAGGAAUCUGCCUAUUAGUGGGGGACAACAUCCCGAAAGGGAUGCUAAUACCGCAUACGUCCUACGGGAGAAAGCAGGGGAACUUCGGACCUUGCGCUAAUAGACGAGCCUAAGUCGGAUUAGCUAGUUGGCGGGGUAAAGGCCUACCAAGGCGACGAUCGUUAGCGGGGCUGGGAGGAUGUACCGCCACAAUGUGACUGAGAAACGGCCCAGACUCCUACGGGAGGCAGCAGUGGGGAAGAUUUGACGAUGGGGGGAACCCUGUUCCAGCCAUGCCGCGUGUUUGAAGAAGGCCUUAUGGUUGUAAAGCACUUUAAGCGAGGAGGAGGCUACUCUAGUUAAUACCUAGGGAUAGUGGACGUUACUCGCAGAAUAAGCACCGGCUAACUCUGUGCCAGCCGCCGCCGUAA
rnacentral:rRNA from 1 species